GCCUGGCUGGCUCAGUCGGUAGAGUAUGCGACUCCUGAUCUCAGGGCUGUUAGUUCAAGCCCCACGCUAGGCA